CCUACGGGAGACAGCAGUGAGGAAUAUUGGUCAAUGGCCGGAAGGCUGAACCAGCCAUGCCGCGUGAAGGUCAGUGCCCUAUGGGCGUUAAACUUCUUUUGUGCGGGAGCAAUAAUGGUCACGUGUGGCCAGACGAGAGUACCGUACGAAUAAGCAUCGGCUAACUCCGUGCCAGCAGCCGCGGUAAUACGGGGGAUGCAAGCGUUAUCCGGAGUUAUUGGGGUUAAAGGGUGCGUAGGCUGUGAGGUAAGUCAGCGGUGAAAUGCCCCCGCUCAACGGGGUGAAGUGCCAUUGAUACUGCCUUGCUGGAAUGCGGAUGCGGUGGGAGGAAUGUGUGGUGUAGCGGUGAAAUGCAUAGAUAUCACACAGAACACCGAUGGCGAAGGCAUCUCACGAAUCCGCGAUUGACGCUGAUGCACGAAAGCGUGGGUAUCAAACAGGAUUAGAUACCCGUGUAGUC
rnacentral:rRNA from 1 species